rnacentral:rRNA from 1 species
UUGGAGGGCAAGUCUGGUGCCAGCAGCCGCGGUAAUUCCAGCUCCAAUAGCGUAUAUUAAAGUUGUUGCAGUUAAAAAGCUCGUAGUUGAAUUUCGAGACCGGUUUACUGGUCGUGCUUUUGUACGUACUGGUAUUAUUGGUUUCUCCUUUCUGACGAGUCAUAAUGCCAUUAAUUUGGUGUUUUGGGGAAUCAGGACUGUUACUUUGAAAAAAUUAGAGUGUUUAAAGCAGGCUCACGCUUGAAUACAUUAGCAUGGAAUAACGAAAUAGGACGUUUG